GGAGAGGCGGAGGCUGGCUUUGAGGAGGGAGAAGCUGGAUGGGGAUUUAGGAGAAGAGGCAUCGGAGAAGUGGAACAAUCUGGGGCUGAUGCAUUUUUUUGGUGUUUUUGUUUUGCAUUGGAGUUUUGGGCUAUUGGGUACUGAUGAUGUAGGAGUUUUGGCUGUGGUUGUUCGGCAACGAAGACUCGGGUUUGAUACAGGUUGAGAUUGUAAACGGGGUGCUGAUGAAUCGGAGAAAAAUCCAAACUUGGAGCU
rnacentral:misc_RNA from 1 species